rnacentral:rRNA from 1 species
UGCAGUCNNNNGUAACGCGAGGAGCUUGCUCCUUGGCGACGAGUGGCGNNNNNGUGAGUAAUACUUAGGAAUCUGCCCAGUAGUGGGGGACAACAUUCGGAAACGGAUGCUAAUACCGCAUACGCCCUAAGGGGGAAAGCGGGGGAUCUUCGGACCUCGCGCUAUUGGAUGAGCCUAAGUCGGAUUAGCUUGUUGGUGGGGUAAAGGCCUACCAAGGCGACGAUCCGUAGCUGGUCUGAGAGGACGAUCAGCCACACUGGGACUGAGACACGGCCCAGACUCCUACGGGAGGCAGCAGUAGGGAAUAUUGGACAAUGGGCGAAAGCCUGAUCCAGCAAUGCCGCGUGUGUGAAGAAGGCCUGCGGGUUGUAAAGCACUUUCAGUAGAGAAGAAAAGCUCACGGUUAAUAACCAGGAGUCUUGACGUAACCUACAGAAGAAGCACCGGCUAACUCCGUGCCAGCAGCCGCGGUAAUACGGAGGGUGCGAGCGUUAAUCGGAAUUACUGGGCGUAAAGCGCGCGUAGGCGGCUUUGUAAGUCGGAUGNGAAAUCCCCGGGCUUAACCUGGGAACUGCAUUCNAUACUGNANAACUAGAGUAUGGNAGAGGGAAGU